GAGUUUUUUUUAAAUCUUCACCCUGGCAGGAGUUUUCAAAAUGUUCGGUUUCAGUGACCGCGUGCAGCGUUUGCGUGAGGACGAACAGCCAAAGCGCAUAGAAAAAGCUGCUGUUUUGAAAAUAACCGCGUUCGUGUGGACGGCCAAUGAGCGCGCGCGUUGAGCAUUUCGCAUUUAAACUGAAGCGGAGGAGGUUACCAUGGUAACAGCGCGUCAACUCACUCAGCUGACAAGUAGCGAGAAGCUGUCUCUCUGCUGUUUUCACUGCUUUCAGGUAAGUUUAGUCCCUAAAGUUACACAAAUAAUACAUACAACUGUUCCUGACACUUUCUUACAUGUUACUGACACGUUUCUGUUGAAUCUUUACUUUACAGGAGUGGUAUAGUGUCUUCAAAAAGACCGUUAGCAUCACAACCGUUAACUAUAGAGGCUAACAAUUAGAGGAGCGUCAGAAAAAAAUACCUAAAACAGGGGAAGUUACAAGAAAAUUUGUAAUGAGAGCUGCUGACAGAGAUACAGGAAACACAGAGCUGGAGCGGAGCGGAUCUCCUGUCGAAGAACAUCUCCAAAGCGCCAUAAACCAUCUGACUAGGCAGUUCGUGAAGACGGAUAACCUGGACAGAAGUCGGUUCCAGAUCCAGCCUCCACACCAGACUUCUCACUCACAAGGAUUGCUGUCUACUAGAUAUCUGUACUCUUCAGACUUAGGUUCAUGCAGAUAUUAUUCAGGGAC